AGUCGUAACAAGGUAACCGUAGGUGAACCUGCGGUUGGAUCAUUACUUAACUUAAAAAUGUUUUGACUUUAAGUCUUAACUUUUUAAUGAUUCUCUUUAACUGUUUAACUUUUUAACGAGUUAACUUAAAAGUUAGAGAGAGUCCCAACCCAAAUGUGAACUUGUUAAACUUAAACAAUACCCAUCAGUGGGUUCAAAACUAAUAGAACUUUUUCUGUUUGAAUUUGAUCCCACUGUUUGGACUAUUACUACAAAACAUUGACCCAAAACUUAAAAGUUAAAUUGGACCCAAUUAAAUAAUUAAGAAACAACUUUUGACAACGGAUCUCUUGGCUCUU
rnacentral:misc_RNA from 1 species